GUUGUCUAGGACCUCCCCUCACCUGGUUGUCUAGGACCUCCCCUCACCUGGUUGUCUAGGACCUCCCCCUCACCUGGUUGUCUAGGACCUCCCCCUCACCUGGUUGUCUAGGACCUCCUCCUCGUUGUCUCGGACCUCCCCUCACCUGGUUGUCUCGGACCUCCCCUCACCUGGUUGUCUAGGACCUCCUCCUCGUUGUCUCGGACCUCCCCUCACCUGGUUGCAGGAAGGAGUUUUUGUAAGUCGCUCUGGAUAAGAGCGUCUGCUAAAUGUAAAUGUGUCGCGUUUUAUUCCCUCCUCCCCCACUGAUUCAGUAGCAGGAAGGAGUUUUGAGGUGUUACGAUAUCAUAGAGCCUUUUAGCGUCACAGAAUACCAGUUUACUGAUAGCAUUAAUACAACGUUUGUUAGUUUGUACAUAUACCAGUAACAGGAUCCAUGUUUACUUGUUUCUCCAUCAUGUCUUUUACGUUUGUAGGAGAAGUUGUUGUUUUAACUCUAUUUUUUUGUCAGAUGAUCUGUCUGUGUGUAAGAUUUAUUGUUAAUAAUUGUAAAGGAUCAAAAUAAAUGGAGUUUGUAGAGA